AACGAACGCUGGCGGCAGGCUUAACACAUGCAAGUCGAACGCCCCGCAAGGGGAGUGGCAGACGGGUGAGUAACGCGUGGGAACAUACCCUUUCCUGCGGAAUAGCUCUGGGAAACUGGAAUUAAUACCGCAUACGCCCUACGGUGGAAAGAUUUAUCGGGGAAGGAUUGGACCGCGAGGGAUUAGCUAGUUGGUGGGGUAAAGGCCUACCAAGGCGACGAUCCAUAGCUGGUCUGAGAGGAUGAUCAGACACAUUGGGACUGAGACACGGCACAAACUCCUACGGGAGGCAGCAGUGGGGUAUAUUGGACAAUGGGCGCAAGCCUGAACCAGCCAUGCCGCGAGAGUGAUGAAGGCCUUAGGGUUGUAAAGCUCUUUCACCGAUGAAGAUAAUGACGGUAGUCGGAGAAGAAGCCACGGCUAACUUCGUG
rnacentral:rRNA from 1 species